rnacentral:rRNA from 1 species
CUUACCGGGUCCGGACACACUGAGGAUUGACAGGCAAAAGAUACAAGUUUUCUUUGUGAGAGCUUGCAUCGUAAAAUAUGCGAGUCCUUUCAUGAUUAUGUGAUAGGUGGUGCAUGGCCGUUCUUAGUUCGUGGAGUGAUCUGUCUGCUUAAUUGCGUUUCACAACGAUUUAAAAUGCUAUGUUUUCUGUGUUUGCUGUUCGGUUUUAGCUCUUACGGGAGUUUUUAACUUUGAACGCACACGGCGUAGCUUAAAACAAUCGGAAAGCAACGAACGUGACCGCAACCUCUUGUUGCCUUUAUUUUUAAAAGCGUAGAAAAUUUUAUAUUUUCUUACGCUUGAAAAAGGCUUUAAAACUAGAGGGACCGCUGUUCUAUUCUCUUAAACCAGAGGAAGAUUGCGGCAAUAACAGGUCUGUGAUGCCCUCAGAUGUUCCGGGCUGCACACGUGCUACAAUGAUUGUUGCAGUGAGCAUCUAUUUUCAAACGCUACCGUUGCGGAUUUUGUGAGAAGGGGAUUUGUUUUAAAGCUUUCGGGUGGAGAAGCAGGUUUCUUUUUUUCACAAUUUAUUCCGCGUUACGUGUCAGCUAAACCUGCUUCGAAAGCAAGUAGGUAAUCAAUUGGAAGUAACGAUUUCCAUUUUUUGGAAAGCACAACUUUUUGGUUCGUAUGGUACUGCGAAGUUGACGCAGUUUACUGUGUCUUUCUCUCGUCGGUAUUCACACGGAUAUCUGUGCUACUAUUUUUAAAAUUCAAGGUGGGGACAGACCAUUGUUAAUUGUUGGUCUCGUUUUAACUAGGAAUGCCUUGUACGGGUUGGUUCAUCAAACCACCCGGAAUACGUCCCUGCCCUUUGUACACACCGCCCGUCGCUCUUACCGAUGGACUUCUCUGUGAGGUUGAGGGACUGGGUCCUUUGCGACCUACGGAAACUCAUUCGAACAGGGUGGUCUAAAGGAAAGAGAAGUCGUAACAAGGC